AGCAGAAGCAGAUCAUCAUCCGUUUCAUCCACAUCAUCUUCUAGCACUACAUCCACUUCUUCUUCAUCGCAUUCGUCGUCAAGGUCAUCAUCUUCGAGUAGCAGAGAUUCUCCUAAAACUAAAUCAAAGAGAAGGAAAAAAGAAAAACACAACAAAAAGGACCAGCAGUGGUAAGGACAAACAGCAGUGGCUCUGUUGGCUAGCCAGGGCAUGGAUAGGCUGCUUGUGGGUUUCCUUUUUUUGCCUUUGUGAAUCUGUAAGCUCUACAGAAUGUGCCUUAUACUUGCAGAAGAGAAAAAAAGAGAACAAAAUGAAGAAAAAGAAAGAAAAGAAAAAAAAGAAAGAGAAAACAGGACCUGUCCAGCUUUCUAAGUUCUUCAAAAACAAAAAGAAGAAUGAAAACUACAGCAUGAUAACUGGAAAGAAAAUUAAGAUGAAAAUAAAGAAGACUAAGAAGGAUAAAGAGAGAGACCGGAACCGUGCAGAGCUGCUUGAAUUUCUGAACUCUGCCUUAUAAUGGGAAGAGUGUGACCAAGGACUUGUAAAUACACCAAGCUGGUGAUGAUCAUGCCUAGCAAAAAAGCUAAAGAAAACUCAGGGAAAAGGAUGUCGAGUUUGACAAGACCAGACUCUCCUGCUGAGACAAUCAGGAUGUCCUUUUUUAAUGGCAAAAUGAAGAUCAACCGACAACUUGUUAAUGAAGAUCCAUGUCCUUCUUUUGAGAUGCUAAGGUAACAGCCAGGCUGUGGUGUUUUAGAAGAGCCUAAGAGUGCGUCAUUGGCAAUGACAUGAAUUGACACACUGAGGUCCAGUUCUAUCCUAACUGCAUGCAGAACACGCUUUUAAUUUCAAAUGUCUUAAAGUUUCCAGUAGCUUAAACAAAGCAGAUUAUUUGUAACUGUCUGUUGAAAGAUGAGGCAUUUCUAUGUGUAUAUUUUUUCCAGUAGUGGUUUUACUUGUCCUGAAGAGCAAGUUGACCUUUGUAAAUAGAACAUCCUUUUACAUAAAUGCUUUUUUGACAGUUCAUUCAUUAAUAUAUAAUUUUAUUUC
rnacentral:lncRNA from 7 species